rnacentral:lncRNA from 1 species
UUGCUUGAAAGUUCAUACAUGGAUGCCAUCUUUGUCGCUUACCAAGUUAUAAAGAAAAUGUGCAUGUAUCAAGGGCAAACCACUAGAUUAAAUUUCAGGAUUAUCACUCUCGGAUGAGCUUGGACACCUUGAGGUUACAAUCAGGAACUCUUAUACUUCUCGAUCAUGCACAUCUUUAAUACGAAGUGACGUUGUUUUACCAACUACAUGUUCAUGUUUCAGAUUAUCAAGAAUGAUGAGCUCCAAGAACUCUCAUGGUAAAUGGAGGGUCUCUGAUGUUGCAAUAAAAAGAAAUGACAGAUGUUUUCUAGGAAGCCAUCUCAACAAGACAAAAUUGUAAAUCCUUAUAUUUUAGAUUUUCUGUCCAUCGUAAAUUCAUAAUGCAAUGUAGCGAUAAUAACAUCCAAAUGUCAUUUCUUUGAGCCCAUGACGGUGAGACCGACACGACCUCAGCUCGGCCAUGGCCGCCUCUCUGAACUGAAUGUUAUACCUCUACUACUUGAGGAGGGUAAUAGCUGUGAGAUGUACCUGACCGUGACAUCACCUAGGCCAUGUCCUCCUCCCUAAAACGAAUAUUAUGUCCGAAAUAUCCAAAAAAUGCUUAUUGAUACUACUGAUAUUGCUUUUCUACAGCUUGAGUAAGGUAAUAAACGGUGAGACGAACGCGAGCCGCAUCAUUGCCUCAGCUAUGUCCGCCUCUCUGAACUGAAUAUCAUGUCUGA